UAGGGAAUCUUCGGCAAUGGGGGGAACCCUGACCGAGCAACGCCGCGUGAGUGAAGAAGGUUUUCGGAUCGUAAAGCUCUGUUGUUAAGGAAGAACGAGUGUGAGAAUGGAAAGUUCAUACUGUGACGGUACUUAACCAGAAAGGGACGGCUAACUACGUGCCAGCAGCCGCGGUAAUACGUAGGUCCCGAGCGUAGUCCGGAUUUAUUGGGCGUAAAGCGAGCGCAGGCGGUUAGAUAAGUCUGAAGUUAAAGGCAGUGGCUCAACCAUUGUAGGCUUUGGAAACUGUUUAACUUGAGUGCAGAAGGGGAGAGUGGAAUUCCAUGUGUAGCGGUGAAAUGCGUAGAUAUAUGGAGGAACACCGGUGGCGAAAGCGGCUCUCUGGUCUGUAACUGACGCUGAGGCUCGAAAGCGUGGGGAGCGAACAGG
rnacentral:rRNA from 1 species